UUAUUGAUGUUAUAAUGUCAAUCUCUCUCUCUUAAUUCUACAGUCUCUAGUACAUAUGCCAGUUCUGGAAAGUCACAGAGGCUGGAACAUUCCCUGGUGGGGCGUGGUAGAGGCAGGGCAUAGCUGACAAUGCACAGCAAAGACUUCAUGACAGAACACUCAGGUGUAUACAGAACUGGACCUGAAAAUGUGAGAAUGCAAGAGUUAUUGGAGUGGAUAUAUACGCUGGAUUGCUUUCUACCAUAUUCUCUAGUACAUAUGCCAGUUCUGGAAAGUCACAGAGGCUGGAACAUUCCCUGGUGGGGCGUGGUAGAGGCAGGGCAUAGCUGACAAUGCACAGCAAAGACUUCAUGACAGAACACUCAGGUGUAUACAGAACUGGACCUGAAAAUGUGAGAAUGCAAGAGUUAUUGGAGUGGAUAUAUACGCUGGAUUGCUUUCUACCAUAUU